AAAGCUCCGGCGGUUAGAGAUGGGCAUGCGGGACAUUAGCUUGUUGGUAAGGUAACGGCUUACCAAGGCUGCGAUGUCUAGGGGGUCUGAGAGGACUAUCCCCCACACUGGUACUGAGACACGGACCAGACUCCUACGGGAGGCAGCAGUGAGGAAUAUUGCGCAAUGGAGGAAACUCUGACGCAGCCAUGCCGCGUGCAGGAAUAAGGCCCUAUGGGUUGUAAACUGCUUUUAUACGGGAAGAAAUAUAUCUACGUGUAGAUAUUUGACGGUACCGUACGAAUAAGGAUCGGCUAACUCCGUGCCAGCAGCCGCGGUAAUACGGAGGAUCCAAGCGUUAUCCGGAUUUAUUGGGUUUAAAGGGUCCGCAGGCGGGAAAUUAAGUCAGUGGUGAAAUCCUACAGCUUAACUGUAGAACUGCCAUUGAUACUGGUUUUCUUGAGUACACCUGAAGUGGGCGGAAUGUGUCAUGUAGCGGUGAAAUGCUUAGAUAUGACACAGAACACCGAUUGCGAAGGCAGCUCACUAGAGUGUCACUGACGCUGAGGGACGAAAGCGUGGGUAGCGAACAGGAUUAGAUACCCUGGGUAGUCCACGCCGUAACGAUGAUCACUA
rnacentral:rRNA from 1 species